UCUACGGGAGGCAGCAGUGGGGGAUAUUGCACAAUGGGGGAAACCCUGAUGCAGCGACGCCGCGUGGGUGAAGAAGCGCCUCGGCGCGUAAAGCCCUGUCAGCAGGGAAGAAAAUGACGGUACCUGAAGAAGAAGCACCGGCUAACUACGUGCCAGCAGCCGCGGUAAUACGUAGGGGGCAAGCGUUGUCCGUAUUUACUGGGUGUAAAGGGGGCGCAGACGGCAAUGCAAGCCAGAAGUGAAAGCCCGGGGCCCAACCCCGGGACUGCACUGGGAACUGGGUGGCUAGAGUGCGGGAGGGGCAGGGGGAAUUCCUGGUGUAGCGGUGAAAUGCGUAGAUAUCAGGAGGAACACCGGUGGCGAAGGCGGUCUGCUGGACCGCAAUUGACGUUGAGGCCCGAAAGCGUGGGGAGCAAACAGGAUUAGAUACCCUUGUAGUC
rnacentral:rRNA from 1 species